ensembl:snoRNA Snord70 small nucleolar RNA SNORD70
UUCAUUGUUGUCAAUGAUGUAUACCUUUUGGAACUGAAUCUAAGUGAUUUAACAAAAAUUCGUCACUACCACUGAGACAACAAUGAG